AUAAGGUUGGGUCGACAGGUUUAGGAUCUGGGUUUUUACCAGAACCGGACAUGACUUCGCCUCCGGUGUCCGGAGCACCCAAUGCUCCGACGAAGAAAUCAGCCUCAGAUGCUUAGCGAGUGGAUACUUGGUGCCCCUUUCUGAAUUUUGGAUUUCUUUUUCUUUUAACAAUAAAAACGCAAAUUGAAAGGUGUUUUUUUUUUCAAGAAAUUUAUUUAUUUUUUAAAGUAUUUUUGGUAGAAAUUGGGAUUCAACGGUAAUACUAAUCAUAAUCGUCACCCACUGUCAAUGGCGAAUCUGCUUCUUCUUCGGUUCUCGUCUUCUUCACCUCUCCUCGGGAGCCCUAAUCGCGGAUAUUGCAUCGGGAGCAUAGAGAGGCUACUGUGGCGGGACGUUGUGAGCCGCGGUACCCGCGAAUGCCGUGCCGCCGGCGGUGGACGGUUCAAAUUCCGGCCGGAGGAGGAGCUCCGCCGCCGUGGAGGCUUCGAUCCUUUCGAUUUUAGGAAGAGUGAGAAGAAGAGGAUGUGGUGGUCCGACUACGGUGAUGACGAUGAUGAUUUGGAGGAGGACGAUGAUGGCGAGCUUCUGUCUAUGGGGUUUGAGGUAUUUAGGGCUUUUAGUUGGAUGCUUGCACCCAUUGGCAUAUCUUUGCUGCUAGGAACAGACUCAAACGCGGGUUUAAUGGCAUUAGCAGCUCCAUUGGUACAAUCCAUACUGUCCCUUGUGAUUGAAAAGGCUUGGAGUAGACCAAGCAUUAGACCUAUGAGAAGAACCAGAAGAAGGAUAGUUCCAAGAUCUGCAACCGUAAGUUAUGGAAGAUCAAGCAACACUAGACAAGAAGAAAGCGUGGCUGGCGUAAACCCAGGAGGGUACAAGUCAUGGGUGGUAGGAGAUGCCGAUCCCCGAGGUACUGAUUCUAGAUAUGGGGGAUGGGAUGAUCUGGACACACAGAAAGAGAUCAGAUAUGCCUCUGAAAAUCCAUCGAGUGAAAAUGGGCGAACAAAGCAACAAUACAAAAGAAAAGUGAGCCGGCCGUUGAGAAUCAAAGAGAAACCUUUGCUUUUGAGAAUGCUGAUUGCUUUCUUCCCAUUUUUCGGCUCGUGGACCAAGUUGUUAUUUUGACGAGGGGCUUAACCAUGGCUCGGAGAAAAUACUUUUUUCUCGCAGGUUUAGUUCAGUUAUCAUGCAAUCAGAGGGAAAGACAUUUAGAGAAGAGGACAAGAAGCUUUUAUCUUCAAACCAUUUCCACUUCCCAGAUUCAGAAAGCUAAGGCCCUUGGGGAUGGUCACAACUCACAAGGUCGCCUGUCUCAAACUCUACAAAUUCUGAUGACCCUUUUGGAUAAACCUUCACCUUUCCGCAGAGCAGGUAGCAUGUCUGUCUUGCUUCAAAUCUCGGUGCAUAUUUUCCAGGUGGACAGCCCCAUCUACUUAUGAGGGGAUUCAUCAGGAAUAAUACUCUGUUAUAACCAGUAAGAAUGAAGGGAAAAAAGAGAAAGAGAAUAUGCAUUUUAGUGUUAGGAACGUGACAUAUGCAUUUUGAAUACUUAGGCCAUGAUGUGAUUCCUAGUUCUGAUAACCUUGAUUUCGGCGGAUUUCUUUCGAUGACGAUAUUCAUAUUGGAAGAUGAAUCAGGUGACUUUGAUGCUGUUGCCAUGCAAUAGAGAGAACAGAGAGAAACAGAGAAGGAGAGCAAGGGAGGGAGAAGGUGAGUUGAUAUAGUAUUUAUUUAGUUAAGUACAAAGUAGUUGGCUUGAAUGCCCCCGCGUGUGUGUGUGUGUAUAUAACGGGACGGGACAUAACUAAAGUCUGCACUUUCUUUUCUGUAAAUGGAUAAUAGGUGAUUGAGACAAGCUGAUUCAGUUUAGGAUCAUGAGAAGACUUUGACCGAAAAGGGACAUAGUCGAUAAAUAUAAACACUUGCAUUAAGCUCUCAGCUUUUUCAGAUAUUCAUACGAGCAGGAGAUAAUAUUAUACGUUUUGAUUUUGAUUUUUAAUCAGAAUUCUAGGAAAGAGAGAAGGCUUAUUUACAUUAUUGAGCAAGGCUUUGAUGAUAAGUCCACCUACAUCAAGACAAGCACAUGGACCCCUUUUUUGUCUUCUUAUUUUAUUUCAUAUCCCCUUUCACACUUUGUGCCAUCUUGGAAUUUUCUUGUUUUGUUCUGAUCCUGCAAGAUCAUAGAAGAUCAAGCAUUUUUUAUUGCAGCUUGCAUGUGCUACUGCUCUGCCAUUGUGGAUAUAUGUACAGUUUCAUUGGUUUUACAGUAAGUUUUUAACCUUUUACAUCAAAUCUCAUGCCUGGAAGAAAGAGGACACCCACAUCUUUUAUAUCUUUCUCUGAACCUAUCUCACAGUUGUAUAUUGCAUGUGUUUUUUGGUUCUAACAGUGUUUGACUGAGUUUUCUGUGAAGGUACGUCAUAAAGUUGCGCAUUGAUUCGUGUAGCCCACCUCUGGUUCUGUUUGUUUCUUCGUAUUUAUAUAUUCGGCAUGUGCGUAUUAGUAUAUACGUUUGCAUAUGCAUAUAAUACUUACAUAAUGGCCAUAUAGAUCUGUGCCGAAGACACGUAUGUAUGCGUAUGCAAAUCCAUAUGGAUAUAUUUCAUGUUCGUCUUUUAGACUGAGGAAUAUGAACACCUGGAAAGAAUACAGCCAGAUUCAGAAUGAAGUGAAAUCCUCCAUGUGAGCGGAACUGAAAGAUCAUUCAUGGAGACUCGUUGAAUGGUGGAACCAUUAGAAAAAUGGUCCUGCUUGGAUGUGUCUGUGUCUAACAAGACAACCUGAGUUUGUUUGGAUGUGAGCAGACCUGGUCAAUGCACGCAUUACAUACUCCACGAGAUGAACUUAUGGCUCAGAUGUUGGUAACCGGGUGAUUGAUUUUGAUGCGAGAUGGGUGAAGAAAGAAUGCGGUAACUAUGGAAUAAUAGCAGUGUAUCUCUUAGCUCUUUAUUGGUAUUGGUCAUCAUGUUUCUAUAAUAAGUUUUAGCGUACAUGUCAUCAGAUUUUCACUUGCGCAAUAGUAUAUGGAGUUCUUGAGACAAUCUCACGGUACCAUAGGUAAAGCUCAGAGCUUUGCAGAAUCGAGAACAUAAGUUGUACAUGUCAUCAGAUUUUCUCUUGCGCAAUAGUAUAUGGAGUUCUUGAGACAAUCUCAUGGUACCAUAGAAUUGGCAUCCAAAGCCGCCAGAAAAGGUUUGGAAGGCAAUGCAAGAACAGUUUCUCCAGCAGCUAGCAUGGCAAUCGCUAAGAUCCAGGCUUGAAU